rnacentral:rRNA from 1 species
AGAAUCAACGCUGGCGGCGUGCCUCAGACAUGCAAGUCGAACGAUUAAGACUUCCUUCGGGAAGUGUAUAAAGUGGCGCACGGGUGAGUAACACGUAAGUAAUCUACCUUCGAGUGGGGGAAUAACGUCCGGAAACGGACGCUAAUACCGCAUAAUGCAGCGGCAUCGUAAGAUGACAGUUGUUAAAGAUUUAUCGCUUGAAGAGGAGCUUGCGGCAGAUUAGCUAGUUGGUAAGGUAAUGGCUUACCAAGGCUACGAUCUGUAACCGGUCUAAGAGGACGGUCGGUCACACUGACACUGAAUAACGGGUCAGACUCCUACGGGAGGCAGCAGUCGGGAAUUUUGGGCAAUGGGCGAAAGCCUGACCCAGCAACGCCGCGUGAAGGAUGAAGUAUUUCGGUAUGUAAACUUCGAAAGAAUGGGAAGAAUAAAUGACGGUACCAUUUAUAAGCUCCGGCUAACUACGUGCCAGCAGCCGC